GAGAUAGCUCAGCUUGUAGAGUGUUAAGACUCUUAAUCUCAGGGUUGUAGGUUCAAGCCCCAUGUUGGGCA